AGGAAUAUUGGUCAAUGGACGCGAGUCUGAACCAGCCAAGUAGCGUGAAGUAUGACUGCCCUAUGGGUUGUAAACUUCUUUUAUAUGGGAAUAAAGUUUUCCACGUGUGGAAUUUUGUAUGUACCAUAUGAAUAAGUAUCGGCUAACUCCGUGCCAGCAGCCGCGGUAAUACGGAGGAUCCGAGCGUUAUCCGGAUUUAUUGGGUUUAAAGGGAGCGUAGGCGGGCUUUUAAGUCAGCGGUAAAAAUUCGGGGCUCAACCCCGUCCGGCCGUUGAAACUGGGGGCCUUGAGUGGGCGAGAAGAAGGCGGAAUGCGUGGUGUAGCGGUGAAAUGCAUAGAUAUCACGCAGAACCCCGAUUGCGAAGGCAGCCUUCCGGCGCCCUACUGACGCUGAGGCACGAAAGUGCGGGGAUCGAACAGG
rnacentral:rRNA from 1 species